rnacentral:rRNA from 1 species
UUGCUCCUUGGGUGGCGAGUGGCGGACGGGUGAGGAAUACAUCGGAAUCUGCCUAUUUGUGGGGGAUAACGUAGGGAAACUUACGCUAAUACCGCAUACGACCUACGGGUGAAAGCCGGGGACCUUCGGGCCUGGCGCAGAUAGAUGAGCCGAUGUCGGAUUAGCUAGUUGGCGGGGUAAAGGCCCACCAAGGCGACGAUCCGUAGCUGGUCUGAGAGGAUGAUCAGCCACACUGGAACUGAGACACGGUCCAGACUCCUACGGGAGGCAGCAGUGGGGAAUAUUGGACAAUGGGCGCAAGCCUGAUCCAGCCAUGCCGCGUGGGUGAAGAAGGCCUUCGGGUUGUAAAGCCCUUUUGUUGGGAAAGAAAAGCAGUCGGUUAAUACCCGAUUGUUCUGACGGUACCCAAAGAAUAAGCACCGGCUAACUUCGUGCCAGCAGCCGCGGUAAUACGAAGGGUGCAAGCGUUACUCGGAAUUACUGGGCGUAAAGCGUGCGUAGGUGGUUUGUUAAGUCUGAUGUGAAAGCCCUGGGCUCAACCUGGGAAUUGCAUUGGAUACUGGCAGGCUAGAGUGCGGUAGAGGGUAGUGGAAUUCCCGG